GAUCAUUAGUGAAUAUAGGACGUCCAACUUAACUUGGAGUCCGAACUCUCACUUUCUAACCCUGUGCACUUGUUUGGGAUAGUAACUCUCGCAAGAGAGCGAACUCCUAUUCACUUAUAAACACAAAGUCUAUGAAUGUAUUAAAUUUUAUAACAAAAUAAAACUUUCAACAACGGAUCUCUUGGCUCUCGCAUCGAUGAAGAACGCAGCGAAAUGCGAUAAGUAAUGUGAAUUGCAGAAUUCAGUGAAUCAUCGAAUCUUUGAACGCACCUUGCGCUCCAUGGUAUUCCGUGGAGCAUGCCUGUUUGAGUGUCAUGAAUACUUCAACCCUCCUCUUUCUUAAUGAUUGAAGAGGUGUUUGGUUUCUGAGCGCUGCUGGCCUUUACGGUCUAGCUCGUUCGUAAUGCAUUAGCAUCCGCAAUCGAACUUCGGAUUGACUUGGCGUAAUAGACUAUUCGCUGAGGAAUUCUAGUCUUCGGACUAGAGCCGGGUUGGGUUAAAGGAAGCUUCUAAUCAGAAUGUCUACAUUUUAAGAUUAGAUCUCAAAUCAGGUAGGACUACCCGCUGAACUA
rnacentral:misc_RNA from 1 species